AUAUUUGUAUUAUAAUGCAUAUAUAUACAUAUAUAUAUAUAUGUAAAUAUAUAUACAUGUAUAUUUAUAAUACUUGUCUCCCCUCAGCUGGCCUUUGAUCCUCACGUCGUCGUCGCCAAGAUGAAUGCUGCCGACAACGACGUCCCGCUAGGAUACGACGUCCAAGGGUAUCCAACCAUUUAUUUUGCUCCAGUGGGGAAGAAAGACGAGCCAAUCAGAUACGAGGGGGGACGUGAGCUCCGGGACUUCCUGGCGUUCCUGAAGAAGGAGGCGAGUCACCGCUUGGUGGUCGGAGGGCUGAAGGCUGAACUUUGAGACGGUCCAAUCAGAGUCCUCGGUUACGUGAUGUCACCAGUGACAUCCCCGCCUGCCUGCUGAAUGGUUUUGUUUUUAUUUGAGGAUGUUUACAUGAACGGAGAUGUUUAACCCUUGUGUUGCCUUAGGGUCAUUUUGACCCGAAUCAAUAUUACACCCUCCCCCCGCCUUAGGAUUAAUUUGACCCCAUUCAAUGUUUAAUGUCGGUGUUCUUUCGGUAGUCAACAAACAAACAUAAAGUGCCUCACACUUAAACUUGGAAAACAAUAUUAAUUCUAAUAAUUUUCUGGAGGUUUUAAUUGCUGGCGUCAAAUUGAACCCAAAGGGUAAAAUAUGUUAGUAAAUAUAAAGGUAACAGGAGGGUGAAACAUUGAAUCGGGUCAAAAUUACCCAAAGGCGGGGGGAGGGUGUAAUAUUGAUUCGGGUCAAAAUGACCCUAAGGCAACACAAGGGUUAAGGAAAAUGAUUUUAACUCAUUCAUAAUAAUUUAUCAUGUUCAUUCUUUCACAAACAUUUUAAAUCAGGCGAUUUAUUUGUUUUUAAAGGUCAAAAUAAACGAUGGUCUGUGAGUCUGGAGGUUUAGAAUCUGUUUAUUGACCUUAUUCCCUUUACAGUCAUUUGAUUGAAUCUCGUUUGUAUUUAUUGAUUUCAUCUCGUUUGUAUUUAUUGAUUUCAUCUCGUUUGUAUUUAUUGAUUUCAUCUUGUUUGUAUUUAUUGAUUUUACCUCGUUUGUAUUUAUUGAUUUCAUCUCGUUUGUAUUUAUUGAUUUCAUCUCGGGUUUCUUUAUUGAUGUUUUUGUUGCACAAAUCUAUUGUGCCUUUUUUUCCAGAGAAGUAUUCAAUAAAAUCUCUCAACUUUU